rnacentral:rRNA from 1 species
UACAGAGGGUGCAAGCGUUAAUCGGAAUUACUGGGCGUAAAGCGCGCGUAGGUGGAUAAAUGUGUUGGCUGUGAAAUACCCGAGCUCAACUUGGGAUGGUCAGUCAAAACUGUUUGUCUAGAGUACAGUAGAGGAAAGUAGAAUUUCAGGUGUAGCGGUGAAAUGCGUAGAUAUCUGAAGGAAUACCAGUGGCGAAGGCGACUUUCUGGACUGAUACUGACACUGAGGCGCGAAAGCGUGGGGAGCAAAC